UGCAACGGGACGGAGUACUUCAGUAGAACCCUAAUCUCAACUCUAACAUCUCGAUUUAUUUCAACACUUAUGUCUCAACUAACCUCAACUCUAACAUCUCAAACCUCUCAUUCCAACAGGACUGGCGCCUAGAGAGCAAAGCUCGACCAGGGACCUUACCUCCAGUCCGGUCACUUAACUCUCAGCCUUAGCCUUUCGGCUCUCUUAUCCAAUAAGACUGGCGCCCAGAGAGCAUAGCUCGACUAGGGACCUUACCUCCAGUCUGGUCACUUAAAUUUCCAAAUAAG
rnacentral:lncRNA from 1 species